UUCUGUCUUGCGCACACACACACACACACACACAACCAAGCACAUGUAUCUGCACUCAUAAAGAUGACUCUGAAUGGCGAAAGCAAAGCCGAAUCCCGAUUGGCUGACACAAUCAGUGUUUUGACAGCUCCUCAGUUACAAAUACGGUCAUGAACUUGGAUGUCACCCUGAAUUUGAAAGGGCGGUCUGGGGACCGAGCUGAGUGAUGAUCCUCUGAGAGCCUGGGCGCUUUAUGAACCGUUUCUGCACUUUUGGCCAUGACAUUAAAGCGAGGAUGAACUUUAAUAGCACAGAGGGAAAAACCGAAAAGUAUUUCUGUGAUCUGAUAGGAUAAUUCACAAGGACUGCUUAUCCAUGGCCGGCUUUCUUUCACUAGGUCUUAUCGAAGAUCUACCAGAGACUUGUAAACUGCUCUUAAAGACAGACUGUUGUUCCUCAGUGCUUUCUUCGACUAUUAAAAAAGAUUUGUGUACACUUGCAGGGCUUGUCACACUGAACGCAAUGCAGGAUUAGACUGUGAUGUCAUGCCUUAAUAAACUUGCAAUUCCCAAACCACAGUGCUGUUUUUGAUUGCUCUUAAGCUGGGAGAUCUUACACACAUGCAUAAACACAACUGGAGGGAAGGACAAGCUUGAUAAUAACACUCUUCGCUUGUUUGCACACAGCACCACCGAACCCACUGAGAGAAUACGAAAAAUGAGUGAG